UACGGAGGGUGCAAGCGUUAUCCGGAUUCACUGGGUUUAAAGGGUGCGUAGGCGGGCAAGUAAGUCCGUGGUGAAAUCUCUGAGCUUAACUCAGAAACUGCCAUGGAUACUAUUUGUCUUGAAUAUUGUGGAGGUGAGCGGAAUAUGUCAUGUAGCGGUGAAAUGCUUAGAUAUGACAUAGAACACCAAUUGCGAAGGCAGCUCACUACACAGUCAUUGACGCUGAGGCACGAAAGCGUGGGGAUCAAACAGG
rnacentral:rRNA from 1 species